CUAACUCCGUUGACUAACGUUAGAUAGUAGACAGACGUGUGUGUUAUUAAUCGAUUUUAGAUUAGCUAUAGAGAUUAACUGCUAUUCUAACUUGUCAUUUGUUUAACACCUCAGAUCUCGCAUCGUGAAAAAACUUGCAUCGAGAACUCAUGUUCCCCAUGAUGGAACAACCUUCCUGGUGUUCGGUAGGAGAACCUACUGUACGCCUGCCACCAUGGCAAGGAUAAAAAUGCGAGUGAUAGUAAGAGGGAAACACAAAUGAACAUGAGGCCGAAGAGAAAAAAAACUCACAAAAACCCAGACACUGGGAACAAGCCCUGCCACCUCCAGGCCCCUCCACAGUUCCACUCACAGCGGCACCACCAACUCCACUGCCCCCUCACAGGAUUGGACAGUUUUUGGGGUGGGAGAUGGAGGUCCUCGACACUUCUGGCUCUCCUUAAUGGGAACCCUGGUGGUCUUUCCUCCUUUGGCUGGUCUGAUGCAGAAUCCCCUGAUGGUUGACUUCUGUGUUACACCGCUCAAGUGUGUGGCUGGCCUCGGUCUCACCUGUACGCAGAGAGGAUGAUCUCUGGUCUGGGAAUGGAUCAGUUGCUUCCUCUGGCCAGGCAAGACUGUGGGCAAUGUUGUCCACUUCCAGAACCAACUGAGAAUGGCUCAGCUGUUGAUGGUUGAAUGAUGUUGAAAGGUUUGAUUUGAAGAUUAAACAGAACACAAUUAUAACUUCAUUGUCUUCCCAAACCAGCUCUAACAUCUCUAUACACAUGACUUUUUGUGUACAUAACCUUGUAUGUGUGCAAACUUGUGAUUACAAUGUUUCUGUCAUUAUUACAGAAUGUCAUGUAAAGGACCCUUAAAUGUUUUCAUUUCAAAUUGUUUUAACUGGAUAAGAAUGGAUGAUUUAAAAUGUGAUAAUUCAUUAUAGAAAGACCCAAAAGCAUUCCCACCGACCUCUGCGAGUCUGCUCUGUUGUGGAGCGUAGUGUGGCUGUUGUGAUGCUGUCUUCACGGUGACAGCACAGGACAUUAAGUGAUUUCCAAUUGCUGAUGGCAUUACCUUCUGAUCAAAUCAGCAUUAAAACAACUUUCAUACUAACAACAAUGAGAAGAGAGCACCAUCCGUCCUCCACAAUUCGCACUGUCUGUGUUUUAUUACCAAAUGAUAUUGGAUAACAAAGGUAAUCUCUAAUGAACUUACAAAAAACUGUCCAUGACAGUUUUUGAAACCCAUGAAUACAUGAGACUCAUCAUUAAUGGUUGAACGUAAAAUACACAUUUGAUAUAUUUCUGCCAUUUUUAGCUACAUUAGCUAUAUUUCUUUAAUACAUCUUUUAAAUUGUUUUCCUCUUUUUCCUUGUGCUGGCGAAUGCUGUAUAUAUGUACCUACUUACAACUUUAUUUCUAUAUGUUAUAUAAGUAUAACGUAGGAUGACCUCACCAGUGAGAUGACAACUAUUCAGUGCCAGACAUGCUUUGCUGUCUGGGGAGUCAUUUGAUUGACCUCAUGUGUGCCUCUGUACUGUACUCUUAAGUUUGGAUUCAGUCUGUGCGCACACACACACACACACACACACACACACAGUUACAGUAGCUGAUUGAUCUGGUUCUAGUUGAUGAGUGAGAAGAUAACGGGCAAUUCUGGCAUGUGUCCCUUGUUCCCAGUUCAACAAACCAGACACAAACACAAGUGACUGGAAUGUUAGAGGAAAUGCAAUAGAUGGUGUCGAAAUGUGAAGAUGACACUCGUGUGAAUGAUUGUCCCGUCUAGGUUUGUGAUGACAAGUGAAUUCUGUAUGGGAAUGUAAUGAGCUUGUGGUUUAUUGAGCUAAAUUAGGUUCUGCAUUGUCAAAUUUUUUUGAUAAAUUUGACAGUGUGGGCAUGACUUUCAUUUUGUGGCAUUAUCAAAUACCUUUGAUUUGACUUGAGCCUCACCAUUUGCUGAGGCAAAAGUAGGAGAACAUAUGGGAUCAAAAAGCCUAUUGUCUUGAAUAACUGAUAACCAUAACUAUAACCUGUAUUUCAAGAUAUUUGUGAGUUUGCACAUACUAUACUUAUUUCUUGAUGGGAAAGGCCACUGUACUUAACUGUAUUUCCGUGAAGGCUGGCAGUCAAUGUUGGCAUACGGGGGGCCAACACUACAAAGACAUUGAGGCCGGACCAAGUCUUUACGACGCACAUAAAGACAUGUCUUCUUGCCUAGCAACGAAACAUAAUGACAGAAUCAAGUUCAGACUUUUACAACUUUACAUUAGGUGAAAAGUACAUGCGUGCACGCACACAAACACAAACACAGCACCUACUUUCUGUGUAGAAAAAACAACAGAGCCUUUUGGCUGGGAUCCUAUCUUCCACUUCCUAGGUUUGGUACACCUUGUGCUGAAGUAUGUGCUGAAGCCAGGACCCAUUUGGAAACUGGGAGCCGUAACCAGAGAGACAAAACUUAAUUCACUCCAGGGGCGGCACUGAUUUUGCCCCACGGUAACCAAAAAUAGACAUGAAAUGUUUACAGACUUGGAGCAAUGCUGUCUGACUGGAGCGGGAAAGAACGACUUAAAAAAAUAAAAAAAGAGAAGGGAACUUAUCUUAGAGAAAGGGAGUUAGGUCACAGAGCUGCGAUGGUGCUCGGAACAAUGCUGCCUGCUUUUUCUCUCUCACACAACACACACGCACGCACACACUCCCAGAGGACACAGCCCCUAAAUAUACAAACUUAAACAGUGGAGUCAGUGAUAGUGGAGGGGGACUCGGAGCUCUGUCAGCCCAGACACACUUCAAAAAGAGCCGAAAAGAAGGAGAAAGCCCCCGGCUAUGACAGAGGAUAAUGCAACCGGCUGAAACACCCUCCCCUGAUAAUAACCUGAGAAGAAGAGACACUGUUGUUCAUUGUUAAAGGUCGUUCCACCAAUUCAUUAACUUUUAGAAGUGUAAAAAUGUUAACUUAAUUUCACCUAAUAACAUUCUGUCACAAAACAACUUAAUAAUAUGAAUGUACAGUUGAAGUUGGAAGUUUACAUACACCUUAGCCAAAUACAUUUAAACUCUGUUUUUCACAAUACCUGACAUUUAAUCCUAGUAAAAAUUAGGAUCACCACUUUAUUUCACGAAUGUGAAACGUCAGAAUAAUACUAGAGAGAAUUAUUAAUUUAAUAUUUUAUUUCUUUCAUCACAUUCCCAGUGGGUCAGAAGUUUACAUACACUCAAUUAGUAUUUGGUAGCAUUGCCUUCAAAAUUGUUUAACUUGGGUCAAACGUUUCAGAUAGCCUUCCACAAGCUUCCCACAAUAAGUUGGGUGAAUUUUGGCCCAUCCCCCUGACAGAGCUGGUGUAACUGAGUCAGGUUUGUAGGCCUCCUUGCUCGCAUGCGCUUUUUCAGUUCUGCCCACAAAUUUUCUAUAGGAUUGAGGUCAGGGCUUUGUGAUGGUCACUCCAAUACCUUGACUUUGUUGAUCUUAAGCCAUUUUGCCACAACUUUGGAUGUAUGCUUGGGGUCCAUUUGGAAGACCCAUUUGCGACCAAGCUUUAUCUCCUGACUGAUUUCACUUCAAUAUAUCCACAUAAUUGUCCUGUCUCAUGAUGCCAUCUAUUUUGUGAAGUGCACCAGUCCCUCCUGCAGCAAAGCAACCCCACAACAGGAUGCUGCCACCCCUGUGCUUCACGGUUGGGAUAGUGUUCUUCGGCUUGCAAGCCUCCCCCUUUUUCCUCCAAACAUAACGAUGGCCAUUAUGGCCAAGUAGUUCUAUUUUUGUUUCAUCAGACCAGAGGACAUUUCUCCAAAAAGUACAAUCUUUGUCCCCAUGUGCAGUUGCAAACCGUAGUCUGGCUUUUUUAUGGCGGUUUUGGAGCAGUGGCUUCAUCCUUGCUGAGUGGCCUUUCAGGUUAUGUCGAUAUAGGACUUGUUUUACUGUGGAUAUAGAUGCUUUUGUACCAGUUUCUUCCAGCAUCUUCAUAAGGUCCUUUGCUGUUUUUCUGGAAUUGAUUUGGACUUUUCGCACCAAAGUACGUUCAUCUCUAGGAGACAGAACGAGUCUCCUUCCUGAGCGGUAUGACGGCUGUGUGGUCCCAUGAUGUUAAUACUUGCGUACUAUUGUUUGUACAGAUGAAUGUGGUUCAGGCUUUUGGAAAUUGCUCCCAAGGAUGAACCAUUUGUUUCCCCUAAGGUCUUGGCUGAUUUCUUUUGAUUUUCCAAUGAUGUCAAGCAAAGAGGCACUGAGUUUGAAAGGUAGGCCUUGAAAUACAUCCACAGGUACACCUCCAAUUGACUCAAAUUAUGUCAAUUAGCCUAUCAGAAGCUUCUAACGCCAUGACAUCAUUUUCUGGAAUUUUUCCAAGCUGUU
rnacentral:lncRNA from 1 species